rnacentral:rRNA from 1 species
UACGGAGGAUGCAAGCGUUAUCCGGAAUCAUUGGGCGUAAAGCGUCCGCAGGUGGCAGUUCAAGUCUGCUGUCAAAGACUGGGGCUUAACCCUAGAAAGGCAGUGGAAACUGAACAGCUAGAGUGCGGUAGGGGUAGAGGGAAUUCCCGGUGUAGCGGUGAAAUGCGUAGAGAUCGGGAGGAACAUCAGUUGCGAAGGCGGCCACCUGGACCAGCACUGACACUGAGGCACGAAAGCGUGGGGAGCAAACAGG